UAAGCGGAGGAGAAGAAACUAACCAGGAUUUCCCUAGUAACGGCGAGCGAACCGGAAAGAGCCCAGCUUGAAAAUCGUGGUGCCUCGUACCUCGAAUUGUAGUCUGGAGAAGGUCCCUCUGCGACGCGCCGGGCCCAAGUUCCCUGGAAAGGGACGUCAUCGAGGGUGACAACCCCGUCCGCGCCCGGAACGCGUCGCUCCACGAGGACCUGUCUGCGAGUCGGGCUGUUUGGGAAUGCAGCCCUAAGCGGGAGGUAAAUUCCUUCCAAGGCUAAAUAUGGGCAAGAGACCGAUAGCGAACAAGUACCGCGAGGGAAAGAUGAAAAGGACUUUGAAAAGAGAGUUAAAAAGUGCUUGAAAUUGCUGGGAGGGAAGCGAAUGGAAGCUGCGGGUGCGCCCCGGUUGGAUGUGGAACGGCUUCGGCUGGUCCGCCGCUCAACGCGGGGCGCUGGUCAGCGUGGGCCACGGCGCCGGGACAAGAGCGGGGAUUCGUUUUCCGCCUAUGCCGGUGCGGUGGCCGAGGCACGAAGCGCGCGCCGCAAGGCGUGGGUUCGCCCAACUGCGCGCUCGGGACGCUGGCGUAUUGAGCUCUUCAUCCGACCCGUCUUGAAACACGGACCAAGGAGUCUAACAUGUAUGCGAGCCGGUGGGCGGCAAACCCAUUGAGGCGCAAGUAAACUGACAGGUGGGACCCCGACCGUGAGGGAGGGAGCACCAUCGACCGACCGUGAUCUUCUGUGAAAGGUUUGAGUGUGAGCAUACCUGUUGGGACCCGAAAGAUGGUGAACUAUGCCUGAGCAGGGCGAAGCCAGAGGAAACUCUGGUGGAGGCUCGUAGCGAUACUGACGUGCAAAUCGUUCGUCAGACUUGGGUAUAGGGGCGAAAGACUAAUCGAACCAUCUAGUAGCUGGUUCCCUCCGAAGUUUCCCUCAGGAUAGCUGGAGCUCGUGUACAAGUUUUAUCAGGUAAAGCGAAUGAUUAGAGGCAUCGGGGGUGUAACACCCUCGACCUAUUCUCAAACUUUAAAUAGGUAAGCCGCCGGGGUUGCUUGGUUGAACCCCGGCACAGAAUGAGAGCUCCAAGUGGGCCAU
rnacentral:rRNA from 1 species